ensembl:lncRNA LINC01033 long intergenic non-protein coding RNA 1033
GGGCGAGUCUUUCCCAUGCUGUCCUCAUGAUAGUGGCCAGUAAAGGAAUAAAAAAGAUCCACCAAGACAGAGAAUUAAAGGAGAGACUCCAGCAUAUAAGAGGUCAACCAUUUAGGAAAACAGAAAGUGGAUACAGAAGUGGCAACUGACGUAGCGGAACAGAGAAAGCUGAAGGCUAAGUUCAAGAGGCGGGGGAAGCCAGCAAGAAACAAGCUGAUUCCUGUUGCAGAACUCUCAUCAGCUCAGCAAUAAGCACCACCUGGUUCUCUGAGGGUCUCACUUCACCCAGGCUGGAAUGCAGUGGUGUGAUCACAGCUCACUAUAGUCUCGAUCUCCUGGGCCUCCCACAUCAGCCUUGUCCCAACUUGGCUGCUUUGUAAGAAGUGGACUUCUGCCUCCUCAGCCUAACCUGAAGAAUAGAACCAGCUUCUUUCGUGGCAAUUUUCCCCCAGGAGGGAUUUCCCUGCAGUGGACCUCCUCCCCAGUGGUACCUUCAGCCAUCAGAACACCUCGCUUUAGAUCUGUGGGUCCCAAAUUUCAUCAAAUCCAAUGACCAUUUCUAUGAUCACUCAUUCUGGGGGCAGCCCUCUGGCAUGUAAUGAGCAGUCCUAUGGAGAGGCCCAUGUGACAGUAGCCAUGCGAGUGACACUGGAAGUGAAACCUGCAGCUCCAGUCAAGCCUUUAGAAGACUGCAGCCCUGGCUGACAGCUUGACAGCAAACUCAUGAGAGACUCUCAGCUUGAACAACUCAGCUAAACUGUUCCUGGGUUCCUGGUCCUCAAAAACUCUGGAAUUCUGUGAAGCACAUGACCUCAAGUCUUUGGAUAAAUGGAAACGCAGCUUAUGCCGGAAAGAUGGAAGGCUGGCUGUACUAAUAUCAGAAAUGGAAGAGGAGAGACAUCACUAGAGAUCCCAUGGAUAUUGAAAGGAUAAUAAAGGAGUAUUAUGA